rnacentral:rRNA from 1 species
CAGACGGUCGCAGAGAGCGACCUUCUCUUCGGAGCUUGGAACACAGGUGCUGCAUGGCUGUCCUCAUCUCGUGUCGUGAGAUGUUGGGUUAAGUCCCGCAACGAGCGCAACCCUCGUCUCUAGUUGCCAUCAUUUAGUUGGGCACUCUAGAGAGACUGCCGGUGAUAAGCCGCGAGGAAGGUGGGGAUGACGUCAAGUCCUCAUGGCCCUUACGGGCUGGGCUACACACGUGCUACAAUGGCGGUGACAAUGGGCAGCGAACCAGCAAUGGGGAGCUAAUCUCAAAAAGCCGUCUCAGUUCGGAUUGCACUCUGCAACUCGAGUGCAUGAAGUUGGAAUCGCUAGUAAUCGUGGAUCAGCAUGCCACGGUGAAUACGUUCCCGGGCCUUGUACACACCGCCCGUCACACCAUGGGAGUUGGUUUUACCUUAAAACGGUGCGCUAACCGCAAGGAAGCA